rnacentral:rRNA from 1 species
GUAGGGAAUAUUGGGCAAUGGAUGCAAGUCUGACCCAGCCAUCCCGCGUGCCGGAAGAAGGCCCUCAGGGUUGUAAACGGCUUUUGACGGUGAAGAAUCGACAGGAUGCGUCCUGUUUUGACGGUAGCCGUUGAAUAAGCACCGGCUAACUCCGUGCCAGCAGCCGCGGUAAUACGGAGGGUGCGAGCGUUGUCCGGAUUUAUUGGGUUUAAAGGGUGCGUAGGCUGGAAGGUCAGUCAGCGGUGAAAAGCUGUCGCUUAACGAUAGUCUUGCCGCAGAUACUUCCUUUCUUGGAUUAGGAGGAGGCCACUGGAACGGAUGGUGUAGCGGUGAAAUGCAUAGAUAUCAUCCAGAACACCGAUUGCGAAGGCAGGUGGCUGUACCUUAAUCGACGCUGAUGCACGAAAGCAUGGGGAGCAAACAGGAUUAGAAACCCCUGUAGUCC